rnacentral:rRNA from 1 species
GUGGGGAAUUUUCCGCAAUGGGCGAAAGCCUGACGGAGCAAUGCCGCGUGAGUGACGAAGGCCUUCGGGUUGUAAAGCUCUGUCUUCAGGGACGAAAACAAUGACGGUACCUGAGGAGGAAGCCACGGCUAACUACGUGCCAGCAGCCGCGGUAAUACGUAGGUGGCAAGCGUUGUCCGGAAUGACUGGGCGUAAAGGGCGUGUAGGUGGAUUGAUCAGUCGGAUGUGAAAUACCCGGGCUUAACCUGGGAGCUGCAUUCGAUACGGUCAGUCUUGAGUGCAGGAGAGGGCAGUGGAAUUCCCAGUGUAGCGGUGAAAUGCGGAGAGAUUGGGAGGAACACCAGUGGCGAAGGCGGCUGCCUGGCACAAUACUGACGCUCAUGUGCGAAAGCUAGGGCAGCGAACGGGAUUAGAAACCCCGUAGUCC